ACCCAGGGCCUGCUCAUGCUUUCCUUUCUCUUGAGAGAACUGAAAUGGACAGGACAAAUGACUGGCUCAAGGUCACACUGCAGCUGUGAAAGAAGAAGGGCUUGAGGACACAGAAGGUACAUAGUUUAAUAAAUAUUUGAGGGCUGAGUAUGGUACCCAGACUUCUCUAGGUGCUGUGGGACACAGCAGUGGACCAAGAAGACAAAAAUCUGUAUCCUCAAGGAGCUUGUAUUUUAGUGGAAGGAGAUAUACAUUAAUCAACACAGAUAAGUAAAUAAAGUAAAUAAGCAAAUAAAUAAAUAAAGUAAGUGAAUAUGAUAGUGCAGUGUAGUGACACAGUGUUGGAGCCAGACAGCCUGGGAUCAAAGCCUGGCACCAUCACUUACAAGCUGUAUGGCCUUUGAGGAAGUUCUCAACCUCUCUGUGCCUCGGUUUCCUCAUCAGUAAAAUUGGGUUAAUAAAAACUUUUGAGAUUUGCCAUGAGGAUCACAUUUAAUCAGUGUUAAACACUUAGAACUGUGCCCAGCACACUUUAAGCACUACAUUAGUAGUACUUGCUAUUAUUAUAUUAAAUGGUACAAGAACAAGAAUGGGAUAAAGGAGUGUUGGAUGGGUUUGUAGUUUUAAAUGCCUUGUUAAAAAAAAUCUGGAACAAGAUCUUGAUGACAAACUGGCAUUUAAGUAAAGAUCUAAAGGAGCUGAGGGAGUCAGCCACUCAGAUAUUUGGUGGUAAGCUGUGCCAGGCAGAAGGAAUGACAAGUGCAAAGACCCUGAGGUUGGCACAUGCCUCGCUUCUAGGACUGACAGGUGUGCAGUGUGGCUGGGGAGGAGAAUACAAUAGGAGGGAUCAUAGAUUGGGGCUCCUUAGAAGUAGAACCUAAGACAGGAAUUCAAAUGCCAUUGAUUUCCUGAGGAUGUACUCUCAGGAAAAAACGAGGGAAGAAAGGAAGAGAGAGCAGAAGAGCUAAGUAAGGAUGUGGCCCCGGCAGGUACAGCCUGGCCCCAAGGGGAGCACUGGAGUGUGGACUGCACUACAGUGAGUUCCCCCUUGAGACAAAUGGAUUGGCUUCUUGUUUCCUCAGCCAAUCAUUGGCAGAGGGCUGUUGGGGGAGGUGGCUCCCAUUGGCCAAGGGCAGUUCUCAUUAGCAGGGGCAGUUGUGAGUUGCUGGCAGUAGGUGGCGGUGGCCUGGGGAAGGGGAUCGGGGCAGGACUUAGCAGUACACACUACAGGAGAUGAAGCUGCUUCUUCUAGGGACUUGUAGACAUUUCAAGUCAUAGUUCCAGAAGAUUCAAAUAUGAAUUUAAUGAGUCCAUCUGGCUAUAUUCCAGGAACAGAAUCUUAGCCAUGAUGAGGGCUGGAGUCUUUUCAGUCUGUACUUGUGCUUCUGAAAAAUGUUAAAGAAAAACUACACAAUGGGGGCACGUUGGUGCCUCUAUAGCUUGCUAACUUCUGACUUUUUAUUUUUUUAUUUUCUUGAGACAGAGUCUUACUGCAUUGCUCAGGCUAGAGUGCAGUGGCACGAUUCUUGGCUCACUGCAACCUCUACCUGCCAGCAACCUCUGCCUCCUGGAUUCAAGUGAUUCUCCUGUCUCAGCCUCUCGAGUAGCUGGGAUUACAGGUGCCCACCACCAUGCCAGGCUAAUUUUUAUAUUUUUAGUACAGACGGGGCUUUACCAUGUUGGCCAGGCAGGCCUUGAACUCCUGACCUCAGGUGAUCCACCCAUCUUGGCCUCCCAAAGUGCUGGGAUUACAGGCAUGAACCAACACACCCAGCCUCUAAACUUGUUUUCUGCAAAUGAUUCUAGGUUUAUUUCUAGCAAAGCUGAGCCCUCUGCCGGCAAAAGCAACAUAGAGCUGCUGGGGGCACCUUGCUGCCUCUCCUCCACAGUCCUCAGCAAUUCAGGUUUAGCUCCAAACCUGCAUAUUUCACCCACAAAGCCAAAGCCCUGCAGGCAGACAGCCCCGCAUCCUUAGAAGGAAGCAUAGCAAUUGUUAAUUGAAGCUGGAGCUGGAGCCUUGAGUGUCUUACACUCUAUGCCAAGCAGCUUAUCAAAGUUGCUUUUAGCCACACUGCAUUUGUCCCUGUGAGGAGCCAUGGAGACUUUGUACAAUGUCAAGGUAGCUAAAUUGGAAUGACAUUUCCCAGAUAACUUAGAUACAGAGAUACCUUGUAUGGUUCAGAGUUAUAGUUGCCACAAGAGAAACUUGUGUGAUUUUGUUUGUUUGUCACCCAGGCUGGAGUGCAGUGGCACAAUCUCCGCUCACUGUAACCUCUGUGCCACCCACGUAGCUGGGAUUACAGGCACGCGUGCCACCACAUCCGGCUAAUUUUUGUAUUUUUAAUACAGAUGGUGUUUCACCAUGUUGGCCUGGCUGACUUGAACUCCUGGCCUCAAGUGAUCCGCUUGCCUUGGCCUCCCAAAUUGCUGGGAUUACAGGUGUGGGCCACUGGGCCUGGCCUGUUUGUUUAACAUUCUAAACAUGUAUAAUCAAUUAACA
rnacentral:lncRNA from 1 species